GAUGAACGCUGGCGGCGUGCCUAACACAUGCAAGUCGAGCGAUCUUCUUCGGAAGAUAGCGGCGGACGGGUGAGUAACGCGUGGGUAACCUGCCUCAUACACAUGGAUAACAUACCGAAAGGUAUGCUAAUACAAGAUGAUAUAAGGGAUUCGCAUGGAUUUCUUAUCAAAGCUCCGGCGGUAUGAGAUGGACCCGCGUCUGAUUAGCUAGUUGGUAAGGUAACGGCUUACCAAGGCGACGAUCAGUAGCCGACCUGAGAGGGUGAUCGGCCACAUUGGAACUGAGACACGGUCCAAACUCCUACGGGAGGCAGCAGUGGGAAUAUUGCACAAUGGGCGAAAGCCUGAUGCAGCAACGCCGCGUGAGCGAUGAAGGCCUUCGGUCGUAAAGCUCUGU
rnacentral:rRNA from 1 species